UGAAGCUUUACUGUAGCCUGGAAUUGUGUUCGGGCUUCGCUUGCGCAGGAUAGGUGGGAAGCGAAGAAGUAUCCCUUGUGGGGGAUAUGGAGCUAACGGUGAGAUACCACUCUGGCGAAGCUAGAAUUCUAACCCAUGACCGUAAGCCGGUCAGGGAACAGUUUCAGGUGGGCAGUUUGACUGGGGCGGUCGCCUCCUAAAAAGUAACGGAGGCGCGCAAAGGUUCUCUCAGCACGCUUGGAAACCGUGCGGCGAGUGUAAAGGCAAAAGAGAGCUUGACUGCGAGAGAUACAACUCCUAAAUCAGACCACAUUUGAUAAAAAGCACUCCAUUCCACAAAAUCUGCUU
rnacentral:ncRNA from 1 species